rnacentral:lncRNA from 1 species
GCUUGAGAGCUGACAACUCCCAUACAUCUGCCAGUCAGGGCUAUGCUAAGUCUCUCUACCACACCUCGUCCAGAGCAGAGGGACAGAAAGCCCCCUGCCCAGCCCAGGGAUAGCCAGACCGCUGAGAGGAUGAAACUCUGACAAGCCGACAGACCGCAGGGAAACGAGCACAACUGUCUCCUUAACCUUUGCAGAAGGCUUAUUGACUCUGGAUAACCUUGCACAGAGCUAGCAGAGGGAGGACAGGAGAUGAUGAGCACGCUGAAGGAAGGGAAGGCGGCCCGGCCC